UAUGGAAACUUACUAAGUGAUAACUUUCAAAUUCAGAGAAACCCUGGAAUUAAUAAAAAUGGGCAAUCCUGAGCCAAAUCACGUUUUCUGAAAACAAACAAAGGUUCAGAAAGCGAAAAUCCAAAAGGAUAGGUGCAGAGACUCGAUGGAAGCUGUUCUAACGAAUGGAGUUGAUUGUCUUACAUUAUUAGAGGAAUCCUUCUAUCGAAACGUCAGAAAAGAUGAAGGAUAAACCUGUAUAUGUAUACAUAAUAUAGAAGAAUUGUUGUGAAUCGAUUCCAUAUUGAAUAAAGAAUCGAAUAUUCAUUGAUCAAACCAUUCACUCCAUAAUCUGAUAGAUCUUUUGAAGAACUGAUUAAUCGGACGAGAAUAAAGAUAGAGUCCCGUUCUACAUGUCAAUACCGGCAACAAUGAAAUUUAUAGUAAGAGGAAAAUCCGUCGAUUUCAAAAAUCAUGAGGGUUCAAGUCCCUCUAUCCCCAAAAAGCCC
rnacentral:ncRNA from 1 species